rnacentral:rRNA from 1 species
AACGAACGCUGGCGGCAUGCCUAACACAUGCAAGUCGAACGGGAUCCGAGCUUCGGUUCGGUGAGAGUGGCGGACGGGUGAGUAACGCGUGGGAACCUGCCCAGUGGUGGGGGAUAACUGCGGGAAACUGCAGCUAAUACCGCAUGAGCCCGAGAGGGGAAAGAUUUAUCGCCAUUGGAGGGGCCCGCGUUCGAUUAGGUAGUUGGUGAGGUAACGGCUCACCAAGCCUUCGAUCGAUAGCUGGUCUGAGAGGAUGAUCAGCCACACUGGGACUGAGAUACGGCCCAGACUCCUACGGGAGGCAGCAGUGGGGGAAUAUUGGACAAUGGGGGGCAACCCUGAUCCAGCAAUGCCGCGUGAGUGAUGAAGGCCUUCGGUUGUAAAGGCUCUUUUGUCCAGGACGAUGAUGACGGUACCUGGAGAA